AUUCCAGCUCCAGUAGCGUAUAUUAUUACUGUUGUAGUUAAAAAGCUCGUAGUUGAAUAUCUGGCGUUGGGAAGCCCUGCCCGCCGCGAUUCGCGUGUGAGUUGUGGGGCGUCCCCGCCAUCCUGUGUGGGAGCCCGCCUACCCUUCAUUGGGCCGGGCGGUGCGAGCACACUCAGUUACUUUGAGAAAAUCUGCGCGUUCAAAGCAGGCACACGCUAUGAAAGCUUCAGCAUGGAAUAACAAGAUAGGACCUGGGUCUCUAUUUUGUUGGUUUCUAGGAUCGAGGUGAUGAUUGAUAGGGACAGUUGGGGGUGCUUGCAUUUAACGGCCAGAGGUGAAAUUCUUGGAUUCGUUAAAGACAAACCACUGCGAAAGCAUUCACCAAGGAUGUCUUCAUCA
rnacentral:rRNA from 1 species